rnacentral:rRNA from 1 species
AUCCAGAGAACUUAGCAGAGAUGCUUUGGUGCCUUCGGGAACUCUGAGACAGGUGCUGCAUGGCUGUCGUCAGCUCGUGUUGUGAAAUGUUGGGUUAAGUCCCGCAAGAGCGCAACCCUUAUCCUUUGUUGCCAGCGGCUCGGCCGGGAACUCAAAGGAGACUGCCGGUGAUAAACCGGAGGAAGGUGGGGAUGACGUCAAGUCAUCAUGGCCCUUACGGCCAGGGCUACACACGUGCUACAAUGGCGCAUACAAAGAGAAGCGACCUCGCGAGAGCAAGCGGACCUCAUAAAGUGCGUCGUAGUCCGGAUUGGAGUCUGCAACUCGACUCCAUGAAGUCGGAAUCGCUAGUAAUCGUAGAUCAGAAUGCUACGGUGAAUACGUUCCCGGGCCUUGUACACACCGCCCGUCACACCAUGGGAGUGGGUUGCAAAAGAAGUAGGUAGCUUAACCUUCGGGAGGGCGCUUACCACUUUGUGAUUCAUGACUGGGGUGAAGUCGUAACAAGGUAAGCGUAGCGAG